UACGGGGGGAGCAAGCGUUGUUCGGAUUUACUGGGCGGAAAGGGCGCGUAGGCGGCCACCGCAAGUCGACUGUGAAAUCUCCGGGCUUAACUCGGAAAGGUCAGCCGAUACUGCGGGGCUAGAGUGCAGAAGGGGCAACUGGAAUUCUCGGUGUAGCGGUGAAAUGCGUAGAUAUCAGGAAGAACACCGGUGGCGAAAGCGCUCUGCUAGGCCGCAACUGACACUGAGGGACGAAAGCUAGGGGAGCGAAUGGG
rnacentral:rRNA from 1 species